AUUUUAUUCUUAUUAGAGGANUCUGUUCUNUAAUUGNUNAUCCACGAUNAAUUUUACUUAUUUUUUUAAUUCAUAUAUCGCUGUCAUNNAUAUAUUUAAAGAUUAAUUUUCUANAUUAUUAUUUUAANNAUGUUAAGUCAAGAUGUGGUUUAUAUUUAAGAAAGAAAUGGAUUACAUUAAACUUAAUUUUUGGAUUUAAUAUGAAAAUAUAAAUAAAAUUGGAUUUAAUAGUAAAUUUAUUUAUUUAAAUAAAAUGAAUAAAGAUCUAAAAUAUGUACAUAUUGCCCGUCAUUCUUAUUAAAAAUAAUACAAGUCGUAACAAAGUAAAUGUACUGGAAAGUGUAUUUAGAAUGA
rnacentral:rRNA from 1 species